CCGCAAUAUUUAUUUAUGGGAUGUCAUAUCUCUGACAGGAACCUUGGUUUUGGGAUCACGCUAAAUGCUGGGAUGAUUUUCCACAUCAGAAUCUCGAUGCUGCCAUUUACAUUCAUUUUGUUAUUGAAUCAGGAUAUUAUGCAUCACUUGUGAUUUCAGCACCGAAUGAUAUUAUAAGAAAGGAUAAGUUAUAACAUCGCCAUCACGAGCUUUUCCAUAAUAGGACCAUACAUAGC